CCUACGUGAGGCAGCAGUCGAGAAUCAUUCACAAUGGGGGAAACCCUUAUGGUGCGCCGCCGCGUGGGGGAAUGAAGGUCUUCGGAUUGUAAACCCCUGUCAUGUGGGCGCAAAUUAAAAAGAUAGUACCACAAGAGGAAGAGACGGCUAACUCUGUGCCAGCAGCCGCGGUAAUACAGAGGUCUCAAGCGUUGUUCGGAAUCACUUGGCGUAAAGCGUACGUAGGUGGUUUCGUAAGUCGUGUGUGAAAGGCGCGGGCUCAACCCGCGGACGGCACAUGAUACUGCGAGACUAGAGUAAUGGAGGGGGAACCGGAAUUCUCGGUGUAGCAGUGAAAUGCGUAGAUAUCGAGAGGAACACUCGUGGCGAAGGCGGGUUCCUGGACAUUAACUGACGCUGAGGCACGAAGGCCAGGGGAGCGAAAGGGAUUAGAUACCCGGGUAGUC
rnacentral:rRNA from 1 species